AAUAACAAGGAAACAAUUGAGCCAGAUUAGCUGAGUAGCAACCACCGUAUUGCUCUGCAGAGAGGACUCACAGGCCAGGGCAAACUUCUGCGGUCUGUACUAAUGAAGGGUCUCUUGCUCUGAAUGAGGAGAGCAGCUCUCUGCAGAGAGAUGCAUCAGUUCCUCUCUGGGGCCCACAGAUGUGGGGCACUGCAAGUCUCUGUUUCCAGAUGCUGGGACAGAGCCUGAGCUUGGCAAAGCACUGAGCACCCACUGUUUGGAAACGAUGUCCCUGGAAGGGGUCGCAAGCCGGGCAGCUAAAAACGGUGGUUCCUGAAUACCAAUGGGCUUCUCAAACCUCAGCCAAGGAACUCAAGCUGCAAUCAGGCCUAGGCAGAUGUCAGUGCAGAGCCCAGCAGGG